CAGUAGCCACGGUAAUACGAGGGGGGCAAGCGUUGUUCGGAAUUAUUGGGCGUAAAGCGCGCGCAGGCGGAUAGGUCAGUCUGUCUUAAAAGUUCGGGGCUUAACCCCGUGAUGAGAUGGAAACUGCCAAUCUAGAGUAUCGGAGAGGAAAGUGGAAUUCCUAGUGUAGCGGUGAAAUGCGUAGAUAUUAGGAAGAACACCAGUGGCGAAGGCGACUUUCUGGACGAAAACUGACGCUGAGGCGCGAAAGCCAGGGGAGCGAACGGGAUUAGAUACCCGCGUAGUCCCUGUCUCUUAUACA
rnacentral:rRNA from 1 species